UUAAAUAUAACUCUUCAUAAUUGAAAUCAAUACUCUCUCCUCAACCAUGGCUUCCGCUUCUUCCAAACCUAAACUCUCCUCUCUAUUUACUCACUACUCACCAACAAUUCCAUCAUCAAAUCAUCCUAAAUGCCCACCCCAACCCCUUGCAUCACCGGAAAUUCCGCCGGAAAACUUCAAUAGAGGCUUUUCGUUUAAACACCGGCUUCACACCUUCCUACAUAAUUGCAAAACAGGGAAUAUUAACAUUGCAUUUAAGUUGCAUGAAGAAAUGCUUCAUGAAACUGGUCGAUAUGGGAUUAAUUGUAAGCCUGACGUUAUUUCCUAUAGUAUCAUUAUAGAUGGGCUUUGUAAGGAUAGACAGGAAGACAAGGCAAGAGAACUUUUCGAGGAAAUGAAAGCUCAGGGUAUGGUUCCCGAUGUUAUUUCUUAUAACUCUUUGAUUCAUGGAUUUUGCCGUAGUGGAAAGUGGGAGGAGGCUAAAUUUUUGUUCAAUGAGAUGGUGGAUCAAGGUGUUCGACCAAAUUUGGUCACAUUUAGUGUGUUGAUUGAUAUGUUUUGCAAGGCUGGAAAGGUUAUCAAGGCUAAGGAGUUGCUAGAGAUGAUGAUUCAGAGAGGGAAACUUGAAGCUGCUUCGGAGCUUUUCGAAAAACUAUCCCAGGAAGGGCUUCAACCAGAUGUUGUGACUUAUAACAUUAUGAUCCAUGGGUUCUGUAAAAAGAGACAAGUAGAUAAGGCAAGUAUUUUGUUUCAAAAGAUGGAAGCAAAUGGUUGUACUCCCAACACAAUUACUUAUAAUACCCUUUUACGUGGUUUUUGCAAGAGUAAUAAAUCAGAGGAGGUGGUUCAACUUCUCCAUAGGAUGGUUCAGAAGGAUGUGUCGCCAGAUGCUUGCACUUGCACCAUAGGUGUAGACAUGCUUUGCAAAGAUGAAAAAUAUCAAGAAUUUCUAGACUUGCUUCCAAGAUUUCCUGUCCAAGAGCGUCGACAUUGAUAAUCACCUAUUGAUAGACUCAUUAGGAGCUAUAUGACUUGAAAUAUAUGGUUCUUGGGAGAUGGUUCAAGUUAUCAAUGUUAUGGGAGUUGAUUUCUUGCUUAAAAUAUAAACAGUUGUUAUUUGUUAUUUUCUUUAAUCAAUAGGUCUGCAUCUCAACAUUCAAGGGCAGCCACUAAUGCCUAUCUUAGGAAAGAUCAUGCUUCUGCCAAGAAUCAUUCAUCGAGAGCUCAAGAACAAUGGCUAGCUGCAAAAAUGUUAAAUGAUAAGGCAGCUAAUGAGAUUUUACAAACAAGGAAUAGUAAAAAAGGGCUCUGGAAGUUGGACUUACAUGGGCUUCAGGCAGCAAAGGCUGUUCAGGCCUUGCAAGAACACUCACGGAAAAUUGAAACUCGGAAUGCCUCCAAUCGGUAGUUGUCGCGAAAGGAAGCUGAAAGGAAAGGAUUCCAACGUGCUUCAUCCCUUGAGUAUCUUAGUUGUAUGGACUCAAAGUUGGACAGAGAAUUACCAUCAUCUAGACAUAGGCUGACAUCAUUGGAAGUCAUAAUAGGUAAAUUCGUAGCCGUUGCUGUUUAACUUUCAAGUUUCAACAUUUGUGGUCCCUAAGUUAGGUUGUCUAUGUAUUUUUGUGUUUUCUUAAAGCUAUUUUGUUAGUAUAGUCUCAAUUUUCUAAUUUUCAAAUGGAAAGCUUUUUUGUAAACCUUCUUGGGAAGAGGGAUACUUUUCUGGUCUUUCUCAGCCCCACCCUCCAAAAACAAGGCCCUUCUACCACAAAAAAAAUCUCCCAGUAACUCUUCUACCUUUCUAACCUCCUUAUUAGGACUUAAACUGAGAGAAAAUAGAUAGCAAGGCAAAGGCUGGAAAAGACAAAUAUAAACAAAAAUCAGAAGUGAAAGUAAUUCAUUACUCAACUCGCUCAAAGAACCUUUUGUGAAGGGAGUCCCAGAAAGAAGAGGACUUAGGUCUACCCUGCAGAACCCAAGAUAAGUUUCCAGUUGCUCGAACCAGUCUGCAAAAUGAGCUUUGCCUAUUGGAACAGUUUUUUCCACCAAUCACAUGCUGAUAGGAACACUAGAACCCUGGUGAUAACCAGUUAUUCAGUUGGGGAGUGGCCAGGAGAGUACAUGUGUCGUGAUUGUGGGUCCCAUUUUGUAAUCAUGGACAAAAUAGAAAUCUGUUUAGCUGCGAUGGGAGGGUGUAUAUAUUAGAUUAGAUAUGACAAUAGGUUGAUUUGGCUGAAGGGAAGCUUUAAAUGUUACUGACAUCCUAUGAAGCAUCGACAUUUUAGUUUGCCUAGUGUGCCCGUAUCGAACACUUGGACACUUGGACACUUGUUUGACAUAUAUCAAACAUAUGUUAGGGCAACAAAUUUAUUACACAUGCGUAGAACACUAACACUUGUUGCGUAGAACAUUAACACUUGUUGCGUAGACUAAAUGACGCAUAUAUUAUAAUAAUAAUAAAUUGAGGAUGAAAGUAAUUUUCCAAAUAUAUAAAUGCAUCAAUCCAUUAAUUAUGAAUUUUCUCCUAGUAUCUUAAUGAACGUGUCAUUGUUGUGACUGUCUUAGAUUUUAAAAAAACGAUGUGUUGCCAUGUCUAUGUCGUACUGUAUUAAUUUCUCGUAUCCGCAUAUGUGCACUGAGACGCAUGAUGUUUUGUUCAUUCCGAAGCUGCUCUACCAAAGGCUGUGACAAGUUUUCUUAGUGAAAAUGGUUAAUAAUUUGCAGGUACCGUUUCAAACAGUUAAGGUCUGCGACGAUCAGCAUUAGACCAAAGUUUCGUAGGUAAAUGGCUAAAGCACCCAUUAUUAUUUGUUAGUAUUGGCUUCAGGAGAAUGUAAUGUAAGUUAUUCAGUUAGAACUUAGAGAGUAGUUGGAGAUUGCCCAAGUGAAAUUGAAACGUGUAAAAUGACUGAAAAUGUUAUCUAGGAAUUUGUUUAUUCGAUGAAAUCUUGAACCUUAGAAGGCUGUAUAGGAGGGGGAAAAGAUUAACAAUGGUGGAUUGAUUGUUUACAAAUAUUGCUAUAUUGUUAUGAUGUUCUCUUUCUUGGAAAAGAUAGACAUAAAAGGCAUAUGUUGUUGAAGACGAUCAAUAAUAUUGGCAAUA